AUUGCACGCUGGCGGCAGGCCUAACACAUGCAAGUCGAACGAGUGGCGGACGGGUGAGUAAUGUCUGGGAAACUGCCUGAUGGAGGGGGAUAACUACUGGAAACGGUAGCUAAUACCGCAUACCAUCAGAUGUGCCCAGAUGGGAUUAGCUAGUGGGUGGGGUAAAGGCUCACCAAGGCGACGCUCCCUAGCUGGUGUGAGAGGAUGAACAGCCCCACUGGAACUGAGACACGGUCCAGACUCCUACGGUAGGCAGCAGUGGGGAAUAUUGCACAAUGGGCGCAAGCCUGAUGCAGCCAUGCCGCGUGUAUGAAGAAGGCCUUCGGGUUGUAAAGUACUUUCAGCGGGGAGGCGUUACCCGCAGAAGAAGCACCGGCUAACUCCGUGCCAGCAGCCGCGGUAAUAC
rnacentral:rRNA from 1 species